GGUGGCUCAGUGGUAGAGUGCUUGCCUUGCAUGCAUGAGGCCUUGGGUUCUAUUUCUCAGCACCA
rnacentral:tRNA from 1 species